UUCAUUUAUCUCCCAGCCUACA
rnacentral:miRNA from 1 species